rnacentral:rRNA from 1 species
UGGGGAAUAUUGGGCAAUGGGCGAAAGCCUGACCCAGCAACGCCGCGUGAAGUAUGAAGGCCUUCGGGUUGUAAACUUCUUUGAUCAGGGAAGAAACAAAUGACGGUACCUGAAAAACAAGCCACGGCUAACUACGUGCCAGCAGCCGCGGUAAUACGUAGGUGGCGAGCGUUAUCCGGAUUUACUGGGUGUAAAGGGCGUGCAGGCGGGCUGAUAAGUCAGAUGUGAAAUCCCCGAGCUUAACUCGGGAACUGCAUCUGAUACUGUUGGUCUUGAGUGCUGGAGAGGAUAGUGGAAUUCCGAGUGUAGCGGUAAAAUGCGCAGAUAUUAGGAGGAACACCAGUGGCGAAGGCGGCUAUCUGGACAGUAACUGACGCUGAGGCGCGAAAGCGUGGGUAGCAAACAGG